rnacentral:rRNA from 1 species
UACGUAGGGUGCGAGCGUUAAUCGGAAUUACUGGGCGUAAAGUGUGCGCAGGCGGCCGAGCAAGUCGAGUGUGAAAGCCCCGAGCUUAACUUGGGAACUGCGCUCGAAACUACUUGGCUAGAGUGUGGCAGAGGGAGGUGGAAUUCCACGUGUAGCGGUGAAAUGCGUAGAGAUGAUGGAGGAACACCGAUGGCGAAGGCAGCCUCCUGGGCCAACACUGACGCUCAUGCACGAAAGCGUGGGGAGCAAACAGG